ACUAUGACACAGCUGAGUGGAACACAUGAAGAGAAUGAACGACAGCUGAAUGGAGAACUGAACUUGGAAAGCUGAAAGCAAGAAGAGCAGAGGAAAUGUUUUAGGGACCUGGAAAAACAGAGCCUCAGAUAAUGCUGCAUCCCAGCUGAAAACUGGGAGUCCACUGGGAGGCUGGCAUACUGUUAUCAGAAAGAGAAUGGAUCUCUUCAAGCAAAAGCUUCAUGAGGACCAAGAGACAGAGACAAAAGAGAAAACAGUGCCACUAUUGCUGGAAACCUUAAGCAUGACAACAAGGGACAAGCUUUUUGUGUGCCCAAUGGAACUGAGACUGCAGGUCUCUUGUUGGCCUUUUUGCUCAUACAUGCACUCAUAAGUGAACGUUAUCAUCAGAUGUGUCUUAUUUGACUAUUUAGGAUAAGUACAUGUGGCCCGGCUCCACACGGUUUCUUUCCUGUUCCAAGGAGAAGAAAGGAGAAGACAAGCUUAACAUGAUAAACUCAUCCGGAUGUAUCAGAAUAUAGUCACCCCGACUCUUCAGAGGAUCUUGUGAAAACCCUGUUUUUCUAGUCAUUAUCAGAUGUUCAACUCAAACAUGACAGCAGUCAUUCAGUUUCAGACCAGAUAGCAGCAGAUAAGGCUUUGCCAGUUCCUGAUACUCAGGCCUAACCCCAGGACUUUGCAUUCCCAAGAGAACUGGGGGUACAGUGGUGCAGUGGGAAGAGCCAUGCAGUGAGAUUCAAAGAUCUGGGUCCUGG